rnacentral:rRNA from 1 species
UACAGAGGGUGCGAGCGUUGUUCGGAAUUAUUGGGCGUAAAGGGCGCGUAGGCGGCGCCACAAGUCACUUGUGAAAACUCUGGGCUCAACUCAGAGCCUGCAAGCGAAACUGUGGUGCUGGAGUAUGGGAGAGGUGCGUGGAAUUCCCGGUGUAGCGGUGAAAUGCGUAGAUAUCAGGAGGAACACCAAUGGCGAAGGCAGCACUCUGGGACGUGACUGACGCUGAGACGCGAAAAGCGUGGGGAGCAAACAGG